GACGAAUCAUCUGGAAAGAUGAAUCAAAGAAGGUAAUAAUCCUGUAGUCGAAAAUGUUGUCUCUCUUGAGUGGAUCCUGAGUACGACGGAGCACGUGAAAUUCCGUCGGAAUCUGGGAGGACCAUCUCCUAAGGCUAAAUACUCUCUAGUGACCGAUAGUGAACCAGUACCGUGAGGGAAAGGUGAAAAGCACCCCGGAAGGGGAGUGAAAUAGAACCUGAAACCGUGUGCUUACAAGUAGUCAGAGCCCGUUAAUGGGUGAUGGCGUGCCUUUUGUAGAAUGAACCGGCGAGUUACGAUUUGAUGCAAGGUUAAGCAGUAAAUGUGGAGCCGUAGCGAAAGCGAGUCUGAAUAGGGCGUUUAGUAUUUGGUCGUAGACCCGAAACCAGGUGAUCUACCCUUGGUCAGGUUGAAGUUCAGGUAACACUGAAUGGAGGACCGAACCGACUUACGUUGAAAAGUGAGCGGAUGAACUGAGGGUAGCGGAGAAAUUCCAAUCGAACCUGGAGAUAGCUGGUUCUCUCCGAAAUAGCUUUAGGGCUAGCCUCAAGUGAUGAUUAUUGGAGGUAGAGCACUGUUUGGACGAGGGGCCCCUCUCGGGUUACCGAAUUCAGACAAACUCCGAAUGCCAAUUAAUUUAACUUGGGAGUCAGAACAUGGGUGAUAAGGUCCGUGUUCGAAAGGGAAACAGCCCAGACCACCAGCUAAGGUCCCAAAAUAUAUGUUAAGUGGAAAAGGAUGUGGCGUUGCCCAGACAACUAGGAUGUUGGCUUAGAAGCAGCCAUCAUUUAAAGAGUGCGUAAUAGCUCACUAGUCGAGUGACACUGCGCCGAAAAUGUACCGGGGCUAAACAUAUUACCGAAGCUGUGGAUUGUCCUUUGGACAAUGGUAGGAGAGCGUUCUAAGGGCGUUGAAGCAUGAUCGUAAGGACAUGUGGAGCGCUUAGAAGUGAGAAUGCCGGUGUGAGUAGCGAAAGACGGGUGAGAAUCCCGUCCACCGAUUGACUAAGGUUUCCAGAGGAAGGCUCGUCCGCUCUGGGUUAGUCGGGUCCUAAGCUGAGGCCGACAGGCGUAGGCGAUGGAUAACAGGUUGAUAUUCCUGUACCACCUAUA
rnacentral:rRNA from 1 species